GCUAUUUGAGUUCAUUAUUCAGUGGAGAAAGAAAAUCAUAGGAUGGAGAAAUUAAUCAGGUAUAAUAGAACUGAUCAGAUACAGCCCAACAUUUCGAUCAGCCUAAUCAGGAUGAUCUAAAUCAAAAUAUGAUUGAACUACUAUAGAGAUGAUUCAAUAAAAACUACGGAUGAUUAAAUUUAUUGGUUCGUGAUCUGGUCA
rnacentral:lncRNA from 1 species